rnacentral:snRNA from 1 species
AGAUGUGAGGGCAAUCUGGCUGUGAGAUCUGUCACCCCAUUGGUUACCAGGGCUGGUUCAGCUGGUCUGACUGCUACAAAGGUAUCCUUUCUUCCCUCGCUGAUCCAUAGGUGUCCCAGAACUGGUUAAAGGGACAAUCUUUCCUGAUAGAGGAGGACUGUUCUUUAGUCUACAGUAUACAAGUAGCUGAGUUCCCCUGUUCCCUCUUGAGAUUGGAAGAAAUUCUCUCAGUGAGUUUUUAAACAGUGUCUUAAAAUGAAAAAGGAGUUUUUCUUAAUCUCA